UACGGAGGAUGCGAGCGUUAUCCGGAUUUAUUGGGCGUAAAGCGCGCGUAGGCUGUUGUGUAAGUUGGGGGUGAAAUCCCACGGCUCAACCGUGGAACAGCCCUUGAUACUGCGCGACUUGAAUCCGGGAGAGGGUGGCGGAAUUCCAGGUGUAGGAGUGAAAUCCGUAGAUAUCUGGAGGAACAUCAGUGGCGAAGGCGGCCACCUGGACCGGUAUUGACGCUGAGGCGCGAAAGCGUGGGGAGCAAACAGG
rnacentral:rRNA from 1 species